CUAACUUUGCUCUCUCUUUUGGAGGGGCGUGUUACGUGCAAGUGCUGCACGUAUGUUUUUCUUUCCUUUUCUUUUUGCCUCUACCUAACUUCACAAUAGGUGCAGAAUGGAGCCUAUGAAAGAAAUGCUAUGAUUACUUCGCCACCAAUCCGCAUCUGCCGUUGUGUCUUUGGAGGCGGGUCUAGAGACAUAAAGGCACCAAUGGAGACGGAGCUGGAGGAGGAGCACUGCAGUUAGGCUGAGACUGUGUUGGUGAACUGCUGAAUUGUUUGGACCGCAAACCGCGUGUAGUAUUAUAGAUAAGUUAUAUUCUCAGCGUGCUCCUGCCGAUUGUUAUUUAUUCAAACCGCUUGUAGUAAUAUAGAUAAGUUAUAUUCUCAGCGUGCUCCUGCCGAUGGCUAUUUGUAUAUUUUGGCUCAUUUUGAAAACGUGAAGCGUGGACAGGCAAGAUAAAUUGAAGAGGAGAUUAACUCUUGACUUCCCCCAGCUGGUGUUUCAUUCCCCCAUCAAGCGCAACAUGUGUCAGAUGGUUUUUGUCGAGACAAUAACUGCAGAUAUGUUGAUAGACAGGCUACCUCAUUCAUUAGGUACAGGGACAAUAACUGAGUCAACGGAGAUAAGCCAGAACAGAAAGUGACUGUGAAAAGACUCCAAGAACAACAGAUGUUCAGGAAAAAUCUACUUCAGGGCUCUCAAUCAAUACAUCAGAGGACACAAGGACACUUUAUAGUGCAGCAUUGAUAUUAAAAAAAGCUUUUGCGUGACUCUCCUGGUAAGAAAUGCCCAUGGCCGCCCACGUCAGAUGAUUUGAAUGUAACUGAUGCAAAAUCUGUUGUGCCAGUUGAAUUGUACAAUCUGAUUUCAUGAAUUAUAAUAAUUCAAAUAAUUGAUUAAUUGAUUACUUUAUUGAUCCCCGAAGGGAAAUUGUGGUGUCACAGCAGCAAUUCCAAUUAUUACAAGCAUUGUAAUGUCGUUGUGUGAUUCCCUUCAGGGAUCAAUAAAGUAAUCAAUCAAUCAAUUAUUGGUGCAACCGAGGAACCAAUGCUGGCUGACUGUUGAUUUCCCAGAAGAUUUGAACCUAAAAGUGACCCAGGAAAUGGAUUGCAUCUAUGUGGUCAGGCACAGCGUGGCUAAGAGGGUGACUUACAAGGAGACAGGAUUGGAGAGUUAGAACACCUGGUUGUUCCCAAUACAUUGUACUAAAUGCUAGAAUGAGUCAUGGUGUGACAUUACCACAUGUUUGAAUGUUAUGUAUGGACUGAUUUUAAGUUGUAUUGCAUAUAUUGCAGAAUUCUAAAUUUUUGCCAUUAUUCAAAACUAAAGGGGUUGGGUAACGAAUUCGACUAAUUUCAACCAUCUUGAACAAAAGUGUAUUUUUAGUUUUUCCUUCCUCUGAAUACCCAGUCAUUACUGACAAUUUUGAUGUGUAAAACAUCAGUGUUUUGCAAAAUUUGGCAUGUGUAUGUAUGCUUUUAUUUAGUGCCAGCUUCUGAAGAUCAACCAUAUUUUGUUCAAAUUUGCCAUAUUGUAUGGUCUGAUUCCACACGAGCAUACUAAUGCAUGAAUACUUGUCUUUGAUGUUUAGGUACAUAUAUGAAUGUCAAUUUGGGAGAUAUUUGUGUUAUUAAACUGAAUAUAAAUAAACUUAGAAGCAAAACCA